UGGCCUUGACAUACUAAGAACUUCCAGAGAUGGAUUGGUGCCUUCGGGAACUUAGAUACAGGUGCUGCAUGGCUGUCGUCAGCUCGUGUCGUGAGAUGUUGGGUUAAGUCCGCAACGAGCGCAACCCUUUUCCUUAUUUGCCAGCGGGUUAAGCCGGGAACUUUAAGGAUACUGCCAGUGACAAACUGGAGGAAGGCGGGGACGACGUCAAGUCAUCAUGGCCCUUACGGCCAGGGCUACACACGUGCUACAAUGGUCGGUACAAAGGGUUGCCACCUCGCGAGAGGAUGCUAAUCUCAAAAAGCCGAUCGUAGUCCGGAUCGCAGUCUGCAACUCGACUGCGUGAAGUCGGAAUAGCUAGUAAUCGCGGAUCAGAAUGCCGCGGUGAAUACGUUCCCGGGCCUUGUACACACCGCCCGUCACACCAUGGGAGUUUGUUGCACCAGAAGUAGGUAGUCUAACCGCAAGGAGGACGCUUACCACGGUGUGGCUGAUGACUGGGGUGAAGUCGUAACAAGGUAGGCGUAGAUGA
rnacentral:rRNA from 1 species